rnacentral:rRNA from 1 species
UACGUAGGUGGCGAGCGUUGUCCGGAUUUACUGGGCGUAAAGAGCGCGCAGGCGGUCGUACAAGUCGCGUGUGAAAGCCCCCGGCUCAACUGGGGAGGGUCACGCGAUACUGUUCGACUCGAAGGCAGGAGAGGGAAGCGGAAUUCCCGGUGUAGUGGUGAAAUGCGUAGAUAUCGGGAGGAACACCAGUGGCGAAGGCGGCUCACUGGACCGGAACUGACGCUGAGGCGCGAAAGCGUGGGGAGCAAACGGG